UGCCAGCCGCCGCGGUAAUACGGAGGGUGCAAGCGUUGUUCGGAAUCACUGGGCGUAAAGAGCGUGUAGGCGGCUGGCUAAGUCUGGUGUGAAAGCCCGGGGCUCACCCCCGGAAGUGCGCUGGAAACUAGUCAGCUAGAGUAUGGGAGAGGAAAGUGGAAUUCCGAGUGUAGGGGUGAAAUCCGUAGAUAUUCGGAGGAACACCAGUGGCGAAGGCGGCUUUCUGGACCGAUACUGACGCUGAGACGCGAAAGCGUGGGGAGCAAACAGGAUUAGAUA
rnacentral:rRNA from 1 species